rnacentral:rRNA from 1 species
UGAACGCUGGCGGCGUGCUUAACACAUGCAAGUCGACCGAAGUGUUUAUUCAAAGUUCUUCGGGAUAGAGAAUAAAUUACUUAGUGGCGGACGGGUGAGUAGCGCGUGGGUAACCUGCCUCACACAGGGGGAUAACAGUUGGAAACGACUGCUAAUACCGCAUAAGACCACAGCACCGCAUGGUGCAGGGUAAAAGAUUUAUCGGUGUGAGAUGGACCUGCGUCUGAUUAGAUAGUUGGUGGGGUAGAAGCCUACCAAGUCAACGAUCAGUAGCCGACCUGAGAGGGUGAUCGGCCACAUUGGGACUGAGACACGGCCCAAACUCCUACGGGAGGCAGCAGUGGGGAAUAUUGGACAAUGGGGGAAACCCUGAUCCAGCAACGCCGCGUGAGUGAAGAAGUAUUUCGGUAUGUAAAGCUCUAUCAGCAGGGAAGAAAAUGACGGUACCUGACUAAGAAGCCCCGGCUAACUACGUG